rnacentral:rRNA from 1 species
GAUCCUGGCUCAGGAUGAACUCUAGCUACAGGCUUAACACAUGCAAGUCGAGGGGCAGCGGGAUUGAAGCUUGCUUCAAUUGCCGGCGACCGGCGCACGGGCGAGUAACGCGUAUCCAACCUUCCGUACACUCAGGGAUAGCCUUUCGAAAGAAAGAUUAAUGCCCGAUGGUUUCAAGGGAUUGCAUGGUAUCUUGAAUAAAGAUUCAUCGGUAUGCGAUGGGGAUGCGUUCCAUUAGG